rnacentral:rRNA from 1 species
GCGGUCAAAGCUCAAAUUUGAAAUCUGGCUCUUUUAGAGUCCGAAUUGUAAUUUGUAGAAGAUGCUUCGGGUGUGGUUCCGGUCUAAGUUCCUUGGAACAGGACGUCAUAGAGGGUGAGAAUCCCGUAUGUGACUGGAUACCUAUGCUCAUGUGAAGCUCUUUCGACGAGUCGAGUUGUUUGGGAAUGCAGCUCAAAAUGGGAGGUAUAUUUCUUCUAAAGCUAAAUAUUGGCCAGAGACCGAUAGCGCACAAGUAGAGUGAUCGAAAGAUGAAAAGCACUUUGGAAAGAGAGUUAAACAGUACGUGAAAUUGUUGAAAGGGAAGCGCUUGCAAUCAGACUUGCACUUGGUGUUCAUCAGGGUCUCGUACCCUGUGUACUUCAUCAAGUUCAGGCCAGCAUCAGUUUGAGUGGUUAGAUAAAGGCUUAGAGAAUGUGGCCCUCUUCGGGGGGUGUUAUAGCUCUAGGUGCAAUGUAGC